rnacentral:rRNA from 1 species
AUUGAACGCUGGCGGCAGGCCUAACACAUGCAAGUCGAGCGGAUGAAGGGAGCUUGCUCCUGGAUUCAGCGGCGGACGGGUGAGUAAUGCCUAGGAAUCUGCCUGGUCGUGGGGGAUAACGUCCGGAAACGGGCGCUAAUACCGCAUACGUCCUGAGGGCGAAAGUGGGGGAUCUUCGGACCUCACGCUAUCAGAUGAGCCUAGGUCGGAUUAGCUAGUUGGUGGGGUAACAGCCUACCAAGGCGACGAUCCGGAGCUGGUCUAAGAGGAUGAUAAGUCAGAAUGGGAAUGAGGCGAGGGCGAGAGUGGUGAGGGAGGUAGAAGUGGGGAAAAUUAGAGAAUGGGCGAAGGAAGGAUCCAGCAAUGCUGCGUGAGUGAUGAAGGUCUUAGGGAAGUAAAGCUCUUUUACACGGGAUGAUAAUGAGAGUACCGGGAGAAUAAGCUACGGCUAACUCCGUG